AACGUAGGUUCCGAGCGUUAUCCGGAUUUACUGGGCGUAAAGCGCGUUCAGGCGGUUUGGCAAGUCGGGCAUGAAAUCUCUCGGCUCAACCGGGAGAGGUUGUCCGAUACUGCUGGACUUGAGGGCAGUAGAGGGUGGUGGAAUUCCGGGUGUAGUGGUGAAAUGCGUAGAUAUCGUAAGGAAGACCAGUGGCGAAGGCGGGUCGUCUGGACAGUUCCUGACGCUGAGGCACGAAGGUCAGGGG
rnacentral:rRNA from 1 species